CGGUUAGGUUCUCAACUGGGUUCCCUCUUUUACUAAUGGCAUUUCUAUCCCCCUUUUCUCCAACAGGCUCCAGGUGGUGUCAGGGACUGGACCCAAGAGGAAUGCUGGAGACCCCUUUCCCUCCUCCUGAACCUUCCCGAGAAGAGGAGGACAGUAUAGAUUUACAACAGUGGUUUGCAGAAGGUCAUAGUUCAGAGGCUGCAGAGGGGAGAAGCUGGGAAAUAUUGGGAGAGCAGCACCAGGGGAGAGACAGCUGACAGACUCUGUGUCUUCAGAAAGCAUUCCUGACCCUCCUUCUCCCAGGAUCCAGUGUGCAUUGAGAGUAGGAGAACAGGAAGCACAGAUCAGCCGACGCAGGGAUGACGUAGAAGAGGAGAGACAGAGGGGUGGGACUUUACUCAGAACAACGCCAUUACUGCAAUGGAGAUGUGCUGUUCAAAGUCUCUCUCUGUAAAUAUUGAAUAAAGGACUGGGCAGGAACUCUUCUUGUUAUUGACUUUUUGGCAGGCCAUGGGGGAGGGAUGGGAUUCCCUGAAGCCUGACAGGAGGCAUCUACAUGUAGUUCCUGUUUUAAAAUACCUGCCUUGGUUGCCAGUUCAUUUCUGGGCCUAAGUUCAUCAACAGACCAACACUUUAUAUUGUUUAGUUGGCAAUGGAAGAGGAGAAAGGCCCAUGACUCUCCCUUAAUCGAAGCACAACCACAAGGGCUUUGCCAUGUGGAAU